UUUCCGUGCAACGGGGUUGUUGGGCAGUGUCAUAUGCACCCUUAUAUUCAUAUGUGUGUGGUCGCACCCUACUCCUUGCAGUGCAGCUGACUGCUGGGAGCCGGGGGAGACGAGGUGAUCCGCUGAGCCCUGCUGGGUGUAGUCAAAUGCCCGCUCUGGCUGUGUGUGUUUGAGCCGCGUCCUGAGGCUCACAUCCUCCGGUUGCCUGGGGUUUGCUGUGCCUGCGGCCCUCUGUAACGGUUUGGCCCGCUACUGACCACCACUCCCUGGGCUGCGCUGCUGUUUUGGCUCUUCAUUUUGACUUUGUUUUGGUUCUUUUCGUUUAUUUUCUUUGAUCCCGUUUCUUUGAUUUGGUUCUCUUUUGUAAUCUUGUUCCUUUGUUUUGUUCUGUCUUGGCUGCUUGGGGCGGACUCAGUUUUGGUCCGGAGCGGCUGAUCGCCGCCUGGGCCUGCAUGUCAGGGUUCUGGCUAUCACACGGGCUGUUCUGGGGCUUACAUGAUUGCCCACGCCUCGUGACCAUGACACGAAUGUUUUAAGCCCUCAUUUAUUCGUUUGUUCUUUUGGUUUGUGUAAUGAAGAAAUUAGUUUAGUAAUUUUCCUUUUGUAUUUUGGUUUCAUUUAUUGUGAUAAAUUAGUUUAGUUAUAUAUAUAUUUUCGUGUAGGCCUAUUUAGUUUCAGUUAUUGUAGUUUUUGAAUCAGUUUAUUAAACCGUAGGCCUAUUGCCUAUUUUUUAUUUCUUUAGUUAUGUUCACUUAAUUUAUGUAAACAUUUAUGUAGUCCACACCAGUUUGUCUAUUUAUCUUUUGGGCAUGUUUUAUUUGUGUGUGUGUGUGUGUGUGUGUGUGUGUGUGUGUGUGUGUGUGCGUGCGCAGUGUCACCAUGUGAUGGAAUGCAAGGAGUCUUAUAUCUAAUGGACAAGAAUUUAAAAACUUUGUAUCAAACUUAUCAGAUAAACCUCAUGUAUUCAACAGACAUGACCACAAUGGGAUUUUGUUAUGUGUUUUGUUUUGUUAUGGGCUGAUACAAGGAAAAGUAGUAUGGUGUGGGGACUUUGAUGCUCACAUUACAUUAUGGGGGAGCAAUAAUACAGAUGCA